GUAACACUGAGGCGUGAUGACGAGGCACUACGGUGCUGAAGUGACAGAUGCCCUGCUUCCAGGAAAAGCCUCUAAGCAUCAGGUAACAUUGAAUCGUACCCCAAACCGACACAGGUGGUCAGGUAGAGAAUACUCAGGCGCUUGAGAGAACUCGGGUGAAGGAACUAGGCAAAAUGGUGCCGUAACUUCGGGAGAAGGCACGCUGGGCACGGUGAAGUCCCUUGCGGACGGAGCUGAGCCCAGUCGCAGAUACCAGCUGGCUGCAACUGUUUAAUAAAAACACAGCACUGUGCAAACACGAAAGUGGACGUAUACGGUGUGACGCCUGCCCGGUGCCGGAAGGUUAAUUGAUGGGGUUAUCCGCAAGGAGAAGCUCUUGAUCGAAGCCCCGGUAAACGGCGGCCGUAACUAUAACGGUCCUAAGGUAGCGAAAUUCCUUGUCGGGUAAGUUCCGACCUGCACGAAUGGCGUAAUGAUGGCCAGGCUGUCUCCACCCGAGACUCAGUGAAAUUGAACUCGCUGUGAAGAUGCAGUGUACCCGCGGCAAGACGGAAAGACCCCGUGAACCUUUACUAUAGCUUGACACUGAACCUUGAGCCUUGAUGUGUAGGAUAGGUGGGAGGCUUUGAAGUGUGGACGCCAGUCUGCAUGGAGCCAACCUUGAAAUACCACCCUUUAAUGUUUGAUGUUCUAACGUGGACCCGUAAUCCGGGUUGCGGACAGUGUCUGGUGGGUAGUUUGACUGGGGCGGUCUCCUCCCAAAGCGUAACGGAGGAGCACGAAGGUUAGCUAAUCCUGGUCGGACAUCAGGAGGUUAGUGCAAAGGCAUAAGCUAGCUUGACUGCGAGAGUGACGGCUCGAGCAGGUGCGAAAGCAGGUCUUAGUGAUCCGGUGGUUCUGAAUGGAAGGGCCAUCGCUCAACGGAUAAAAGGUACUCCGGGGAUAACAGGCUGAUACCGCCCAAGAGUUCAUAUCGACGGCGGUGUUUGGCACCUCGAUGUCGGCUCAUCACAUCCUGGGGCUGAAGUAGGUCCCAAGGGUAUGGCUGUUCGCCAUUUAAAGUGGUACGCGAGCUGGGUUUAGAACGUCGUGAGACAGUUCGGUCCCUAUCUGCCGUGGGCGCUGGAAGAUUGAGGGGGGUUGCUCCUAGUACGAGAGGACCGGAGUGAACGCACCGCUGGUGUUCGGGUUGUCAUGCCAAUGGCACUGCCCGGUAGCUACGUGCGGAAGAGAUAACCGCUGAAAGCAUCUAAGCGGGAAACUUGCCCCGAGAUGAGUCUUCCCUGGG
rnacentral:rRNA from 1 species